rnacentral:pre_miRNA from 1 species
UAAGCCAUGCUGGAGAAGCAGGGCACAUGCUAAAGCUAUCAGACAAAAGAUCAUGAUAAAUUUUUGCAUGUGCCCUGCUUCUCCAGUUUGGACAC